rnacentral:tRNA from 1 species
GCCUUCGUGGUGUAAUGGUCAGCACACUGAGCCGGUAUUUCAGAGGUCCGCGGUUCGAUUCCCGGCGAAGUCA